rnacentral:rRNA from 1 species
UACGAAGGGGGCUAGCGUUGUUCGGAAUCACUGGGCGUAAAGCGCACGCAGGCGGAUUGAUAAGUCAGGGGUGAAAUCCCGGGGCUCAACCUCGGAAUUGCCUUUGAUACUGUCUGUCUUGAGUUCGGGAGAGGUUGGCGGAAUUCCUAGUGUAGAGGUGAAAUUCGUAGAUAUUAGGAAGAACACCAGUGGCGAAGGCGGCCAACUGGCCCGAUACUGACGCUCAUGUGCGAAAGGCGUGGGG